AGCUCGUCAGCGUAAUUUGUUCACUUACAUUAGCUGCUGAAUGGAGAAGCUGAAGAGAUGGAUAUGGUAAUACAAUGUGAAGCAUACAGACAAGAACAACAUGUGAGCUAACUGCAUUCUGCUCAGACAAAAAAAAAAAAAGGUUUUCAGCAAUAUUCUUUUUUUCUUUUUUAAUCCAGCCAACAGUGAAGAAGGCAGGAGAGAGAGCAUGAGAGCGAGCGAGACGGAGAUUGACGGACACACACACACAACACACACACGCACAGGCGCACCCAGUCAUGUGCAAAGUAAGAUGACGGUCAUAUGCUGACAGACCCUGACAGUGUGCAUACACUCAGACAAACUGAAUAAGACACAUGAAAAAUCAGCACACGCUGAAAAAAUAAAAAUAAUAAUUAAAAAAACAAUCUGGCCAAAAACAACAAAGUAAAAAACAAGUGGAAAAUUGAUCAACAGUGUCUGCACACAUAGAGAAAA